AUAGAAGGGUACAGACUGUAUCAAUCUCUUUUUCUUUUCACUACCACAGGACACGGAGAGAGGAAGACUAUUGAACAGUGACACAGCUUGAAAACACAGUGGUUUGGCUAAAGCUACCAUGAGACAAAAGUUGGCUACAGUAUCACCAUCUUACCGUAACAGGAGCUCAAAAGGAUGUGAGAUAGCCAGGGUAAACAAACAAGGACACAAAAAUACAGUUCCUAAGAACUCAGUCUGUUCUUUCUCCUAUGGUUGAACAGCUGCACUCUGAAACUCCCCGAGUUAAGACCGGUAAGGCUUUCUUUUUUAUCUGUCAUCUUCCUGUAAUGCUAUCAGCUGUGGGUAAACUAGCAGAUUUGAA
rnacentral:lncRNA from 1 species